UACGGAGGAUCCAAGCGUUAUCCGGAUUUAUUGGGUUUAAAGGGUGCGUAGGCGGACUUAUAAGUCAGCGGUGAAAGUUUGCAGCUUAACUGUAAAAUUGCCGUUGAAACUGUUAGUCUUGAGUGUAAAUGAGGUAGGCGGAAUGUGUUGUGUAGCGGUGAAAUGCUUAGAUAUAACACAGAACACCAAUUGCGAAGGCAGCUUACUGGGAUACAACUGACGCUGAGGCACGAAAGCGUGGGGAUCAAACAGGAUUAGAUACC
rnacentral:rRNA from 1 species